rnacentral:rRNA from 1 species
UAGGGAAUAUUGCACAAUGGGGGGAACCCUGAUGCAGCCAUGCCGCGUGUGUGAAGAAGGCCUUCGGGUUGUAAAGCACUUUCAGAGGGGAGGAGAAUGACGUUACCCUCAGAAGAAGCACCGGCUAACUCCGUGCCAGCAGCCGCGGUAAUACGGAGGGUGCAAGCGUUAAUCGGAAUAACUGGGGCGUAAAGGGCAUGCAGGCGGUUAUAGAAGUAGGAUGUGAAAUCCCGGGGCUCAACCUCGGAACUGCAUUCUAAACUGAAUAACUAGAGUAUUGCAGGGGGAGACGGAAUUCCAGGUGUAGCG